AUGCCCGCAACAGCAGAGCAGGAGCACCGGCGCCCGCCUUCCUCCGCCUCGCCCGUGUCCGCCUCUGUACAGAUGCCUCAUCCCGACCUCCUCGUUCUAUUCCUCGUCGUCAUAGCCGCGCCAAGCCCUCUGCUUCGUCCAGGAUGUGGGCGCCUGUCUUCAUCGCCCGAGCCUCCCGGCCGCAUCUCCUUCGCCCCGCUCGAUCUGGACGCUGGGUCCCGAGCGCCUCAACCUGCUGCCUGCUUGCCGGAGCAGCAACUGCAGCCCCGUGCACUGCCCGGGCCUCCCCUGCUGUCUCCUCCGCCGCUGCUCCAGCAAGCCCCCGCCGCCGAGCGUUGUCUCUCUGCGCGGUCACCACCUGACCCGCUGCUGCUCUGCCACACCCACCGCCGGCGCCCUGCAGCUCCCUCCGCCGUCUUGCGCUGUCCCUCUCGCCUCGCCUCCUUCAUACUCAGCGCCUCGACGCCCCUUUGCUUGCCCGGCCUUCUCCUGCUGCUACCUCGAGCAGUACCACGACCUGCUUGCCCUGUCCGCCGUAGUGGACGACCGCGACGCACCACUGUCAUCAUGCAACUCCACUUGCAGUUGCGGUUGACGCCAAGUUCGACCACCGAACAUGGAUUAGCGCCAAGUACCACGGCGACCCUCCAAGAAUUUGGAUUCGACAAGUUCGACGAUGCUCUUGUACAACUACGUUACCGAGACCGGCAAGACCGACUACACGAAAUCGCCAAGUACCUCUACGCACGGAUGCGUCAAGGUCGCCUCGGAUAUCGCCAAGUACACCACCGAAAAGACCACACGGAUGCUCGAACGAGUACUGAACGAAACACUGAGUACCACGACACGACCAUUGACACGUACCCGUACACCGCACCGAAACGCCGAGUUCCACUCCGGACCAUGUACGAUGACCGUCGCCGAAGACCCGUGUAA
rnacentral:rRNA from 1 species